UCGUAGCGUCUUCGGGUGUGCGGCGCAUGCGCACAUGCUCCUUCAGCGGAGAUGAUCCUGAGCAAGCGGUAGGAAUGAUGAUGAUGGUGAUGCUGCGCGGAUACAACAACAUCCAGAAUAAAACCCUGACGCAUCGAUCAGACGCUUUAUCCUGAUGAUCAAACCAGAUUACAUGGGCUCGUGCGCACCAGCGGCGGAAACACACGGCUUUCAUCAAUGCAUGAUAACUGAAACCUAAUAGAAGGGAAGCAGGAGAAUGAGGCUUGUAGAUAAACAAUGGCAGCAGGGGCAGCGGAUGGUGAUUUACGGGACGGUCUUCCUCAUCACGACCCUCCUCAUCCUCUACAGCUCGAACAGCUCAGCUGAUCUUUACAGCUCCUUUAAAGUCAGUGAGUUUCAUCACAAGGUCAAAAACACCAACCUCAAGAAAUGGGCUGGGAAGGAGGGAUACCUUCCUGUUUACGGCAACAAGAGCAUGAACCUGCACUGCCAUCAGUGUGCAUUAGUGACCAGCUCUAGUCACAUGUUGGGGACUCACGCUGGAGAUGAGAUCGACCGCACGGAGUGCGUCAUCCGCAUGAAUGACGCUCCGACCUCUGGGUAUGCAUCAGACGUGGGGAACCGGACCAGUGUGCGCGUCGUGGCUCAUUCCAGCGUAUUCCGGGUCAUCCGCAAACCUGCGGAGUUCCUCAAUCGCUCAGAAAUCUCCGCCAUCAUAUUCUGGGGCCCGUCGUCAAAGAUCGGACAUGACUCGAAGGGAACUCUGUACCGGCUGAUCCAGAGAGUCAGUAUGACCUACAGUAACCUGUCCUUCUUCAUCAUCUCGCCCAGCAAAAUGCAGAAGUUUGACACGCUCUUUCAGAAAGAGACCGGCCGAGACAGAAAAAAGUCUCAGUCCUGGUUAAGCACGGGCUGGUUUACCAUGGUGAUUGCAAUUGAGAUGUGUGAUAACAUCAAGGUUUAUGGGAUGGUACCGCCAAACCAUUGUGGUCGGAGGCGAUAUGUAGCGCGGUUGAACUUCAAGUGACCCGAGUUCGAGUCCCGGCCUGGGGGACCUUUCUCAAUCCUGUCCCCCUCUCUCUCCCACUUCACUUCCUGUCAGGUCUCUAUACUGUUGAUUUUUAAUGAUAAUUUGUGAACCUUUAAAGACAGCCCUACUCUGAGCUAACUUAUUUUUAAAAUAAUUGUGUUUAACAGCAGAAUCUGCGGUGAAAAACUACAUUACCCAUGAUGCUGUACAGAAAAUUCCACCAAUCAGAGUUGUGAAAAUCAAAAUAUCUCUGUAGCUCCACCCACUCCCACGAAGAACCGUGAAUGAUGUAAUCGAGUUGGUCUCCCUACGCUCUCAAAGUUAAAUCAAAGAAGUUUGCAAUGUGAUUCACCUCGUAGCUGAUUGGCUUGCUUCAUGGCUUAUGAAAAAGAAACACCCUCAGCCCAAACGAAUGCCCUAUCACUAUUACAAACCCAGAGGUCCAGACGAGUGUGUAACGUACCUGCAGCACGAGAGAGGGCGCUGGGGAUCACACCAUCGCUUCAUCACUGAGAAACAGGUGUUUGCACACUGGGCCAAGCAGUACAACAUCAGCUACGCCCACCCAACGUGGUGAACAACACGUGAGAAAACAAUCCAGCACAUCCAGCCUGGUGAGUUGGAUCCAACAUGGCGCCUUUUGUACCUCGGUGACCUUCUGAUCCAAAAUGGCUACCAUUUCAAACACAUUGCCUGCUCAGAAACAUAUCCAGUAUGGCUGCUCUUUGAUCUGGAUUAGAAACUGAGCCAAAAUUGAGGCCAUUCAGGGAUCCAGGAACAUGGGUGGACAAUCUUUGUUUUCUUUUGGAAAAUGAACAGAUUGAACUUUAAUUGUCUUGAGCAUGACAUCUACCUAUUACUGCCAUAAAGUACACCUUCUCUUACACAGGUUUUCACCCAUAAUCCAUAAUUUCUCAGAGAAUGGAUGCCUUUUGGAAUGAGAAAUGCUUUGUAUCAGUUGCCAAAUGAAAGAUUCAGUUACAUCUUGUGGUACAAUCAACACAUUUGAAUGUUGAAUGUAAAAGUAUCAGAGUAUAGGAAUGAGAAUUGAAAGAACUUUACAAGAUUGUUUUAUUUUGUAAAUAAGAACUAUGUAAAUUAUUAUUAUUCCAAAACAAACAAAAAAUAUUUUUACAAGUUUAUAUGGUUUUAAAAUGCCCUAAACAAAACAGUAUUACCAUAAACUAUUAAAAAACACCUUUUAAACAACCAAGUAAAAGGUCCUUUUAAAUCACAUCGUUUUCAGAUGAACGGCACAUUUUGUGUAUUUUUUUGGGAAGCUGUUGGAAUGGAGUUGUUUAUGCCUUUAUAUCUAAAAAAACGAUAUAGUAACGAUAACGAUUAAAACAUCCACUACAAGAACAUGUCUGGGUCAUUUUUUGCCACAUAAUCAAAGAAAAACUAAGAAAAUCUAUGAAUCCCGGGCCUACAGUAUCUAGAAGCAUUCAUGUUUUGCAUUAUGACAAUUUCAAUACUGAAAUGUGGAAAUUGAUUUCAAUUGUACAGUAUGUGUACAUGAUGUAAAUUAUACAUCAUUGUCAUAUUUUUUGUAAGUAAUAUAUGCUGAUUUAAAAACAAAUUUAAAACAUUGGUGUCCAUAUAUUAUGAUUUUCAUUACUGUAUUACUAUGCUGGAGUGUUAAUAUCAACUAAAACUAUUAAAAAUCAUUUCCUAUAAUUGAAAUAAAGCUGAAAUAAAAUAAAAGUAUUAGAUGAGAAAUGUAGAUUUAAAAAAAUAAAUAAAUAAAAUAAGUUGAAGUACUAAAAUUAUGAAAACUAAAAUAAAUUAAACCCAAAUAAUUUUUUAAAAAUAAAAUUGACAAAAUCACAUAAAAUAUUUAAAACAAAAAAUUACUAAAACUAAAUUAAACCCAAAUAUUUUUUAAGCUAAAAUUGGCAAAAGCACAUAAAAUUAUUAAAUCUAACUAUAUAUAUAUAUAUAUAUAUAUAUAUAUAUAUAUAUAUAUACAUCAUUGUCAUAUUUGUUGCACUGAAAGUAAUAUAUGCUGAUUAAAAAAUUUAUUAUUUUAUUUAUUUAUUAUGAUUUUUAUUAUGCUGGAGUGUUAAUAUCAACUAAAACUAUUAAAAAAUCAUUUCCAUUAAUUGAAAUAAAGCUGAAAAAAAAAAUAAAAGUAUUAAAAGUAUUAAAUAAGAUCUGUAGAUUAAGAAAUAAAAUAAGUUGAAGUACUAAAAUUACUAAAACUAAAAUAAACUAAACCCAAAUAAUUUUUAAAAUCAAAUUGACAAAAGCACAUUAAAUUACAAAUAAAUAAAUAAAAUAAAAAUAAUACAUUGUCAUAUUUGUUGCACUAAAUGUAAUAUAUGCCGAUUAAAAAAAAAACAAAAAAACAUUGGUGUCCAUAUAUUAUGACUUUCAUUACUGUAUUAUUAUGCUGGAGUGUUAAUAUCAACUAAAACUAUUAAAAAUUCCAUUAAUUGAAAUAAAGCUGAAAUAAAAUAAAAGUAUUAGAUGAGAAAUGUAGAUUUAAAACUGAAAAAAAGUAAGUUAAAGUACUAAAAUUACUAAAACUAAAAUAAUAUUAAACUAAAAUUAUAUUUAAAAUGUAAAAUAUUUAAACUAAAAUUAACAAAAGCACAUAACAUUAAUAAAACAAAAUCUUAAACUGAAAAUAUAAAAAUAAAAGCUAUAUAUAUAGUAUAUAAAUAAUACUAAAAUAACAAUGUUGGGAUUUUUCCGCAAUGCAAAUUACAUAAUUUUAAUUUUAAAUGCAUCACAAAACAUCUUACUGGACCUAAUAUUGGCUUUUCUUUUGAUUGUGGGUGAAAUAUGACCUGGACAUAUCUCUGUGAAGUUCAACCAACAAGAAGAAAAAUAUAUACAAAUAUUCAUCAACACCAACAAUCACAAACAUACUGUGUUGCGUUUAAAGUGAUGUCAGCGGUGUGUAGAGGCCUUUCGGUUUAUGACGACCUUUUUAACAAGUAGUUCUGAUGUUAUUGAUCAGUUGUACAGUUUGAAUUUUCCUGGCUACAGCUGUUAGUGUAAAAACACACACGUUUAAAUAUCACGCCGAAUCGCUUUAUUUCUAAAUGAGUAUUUUCAUAUGACUGUUGUAAAUGCUCUUCUCUCAUUGGACGAUGCCUUUUCUGGCACUGUGCAUUGGAGAACUCAAGUUGUUGUUGGUAACAGGUAGUCCAGGUAACUUACGUGCUGCUUUGAAUGUCUUGCCUUCGAUUUGUACAAGACCCAUAAAUAACAGCUGAUAAAUAACAAAACCGCUCGGGUUCAUACAGAAUUCAGUUGAUCUUGAAAAUAAUCAACAAGCAUGAGAAGAACUCGUAGAUUUGAAUGACAAAUUUCACUGUAAACAUCCGAAACGUUAAAUUUUUAAAUUUAAUUUUCAAGUCCUGCUCGAAAUGAUCUCAAUUAUCACCCUUAAUGUUGAAACCUCAUUGUUUCUUUCAUUUCGUUCUUUAAAAUGCCCAAGCACAAGAGCAGAGGGAUUGUGGGUAAUGGGGCAUUGUAUUAAGAUGAACUGAUCUGGACAGGGUUUCAGACUGAAAUCAGUAUGUACCAUUAUGAUAAUGAUGAUUAUUACUCAUGGUUGCAGUAUUAUGACAGUAUAUGAGCGGAUUGUUUUGCUCAUUGCUCAUUAUGAAUGUUCUUUACAUGCCUGUCUUGAAAAAAUAAAUGUAUACGUUUAAAAACAGA